rnacentral:rRNA from 1 species
GUAGCACAGAGGAGCUUGCUCCUUGGGUGACGAGUGGGGGACGGGUGAGUAAUGUCUGGGAAACUGCCCGAUGGAGGGGGAUAACUACUGGAAACGGUAGCUAAUACCGCAUAACGUCGCAAGACCAAAGAGGGGGACCUUCGGGCCUCUUGCCAUCGGAUGUGCCCAGAUGGGAUUAGCUAGUAGGUGGGGUAACGGCUCACCUAGGCGACGAUCCCUAGCUGGUCUGAGAGGAUGACCAGCCACACUGGAACUGAGACACGGUCCAGACUCCUACGGGAGGCAGCAGUGGGGAAUAUUGCACAAUGGGCGCAAGCCUGAUGCAGCCAUGCCGCGUGUAUGAAGAAGGCCUUCGGGUUGUAAAGUACUUUCAGCGAGGAGGAAGGCGUUGCGGUUAAUAACCGCAGCGAUUGACGUUACUCGCAGAAGAAGCACCGGCUAACUCCGUGCCAGCAGCCGCGGUAAUACGGAGGGUGCAAGCGUUAAUCGGAAUUACUGGGCGUAAAGCGCACGCAGGCGGUCUGUCAAGUCGGAUGUGAAAUCCCCGGGCUCAACCUGGGAACUGCAUCCGAAACUGGCAGGCUAGAGUCUUGUAGAGGGGGGUAGAAUUCCAGGUGUAGCGGUGAAAUGCGUAGAGAUCUGGAGGAAUACCGGUGGCGAAGGCGGCCCCCUGGACAAAGACUGACGCUCAGGUGCGAAAGCGUGGGGAGCAA